GACGAACGCUGGCGGCGUGCUUAACACAUGCAAGUCGAACGGAAAGGCCCCCUUGUGGGGUACUCGAGUGGCGAACGGGUGAGUAACACGUGAGUAACCUACCCUUGACUUUGGGAUAACUUCAGGAAACUGGGGCUAAUACCGGAUAGGAGCUCCUGCUGCAUGGUGGGGGUUGGAAAGUUUCGGCGGUUGGGGAUGGACUCGCGGCUUAUCAGCUUGUUGGUGGGGUAGUGGCUCACCAAGGCUUUGACGGGUAGCCGGCCUGAGAGGGUGACCGGCCACAUUGGGACUGAGAUACGGCCCAGACUCCUACGGGAGGCAGCAGUGGGGAAUAUUGCACAAUGGGCGGAAGCCUGAUGCAGCAACGCCGCGUGCGGGAUGACGGCCUUCGGGUUGUAAACCGCUUUCGCCUGUGACGAAGCGUGAGUGACGGUAAUGGGUAAAGAAGCACCGGCUGACUACGUG
rnacentral:rRNA from 1 species